rnacentral:rRNA from 1 species
GACGAACCGAGCGAACGUUGUUCGGAAUCACUGGGCGUAAAGAGCGUGUAGGCGGCCAGGUAGGUCUGCUGUGAAAACUCGAGGCUCAACCUCGAGAUGUCGGCGGAAACCAUCUGGCUAGAGUCCGGAAGAGGAGAGUGGAAUUCCUGGUGUAGCGGUGAAAUGCGCAGAUAUCAGGAAGAACACCCGUGGCGAAGGCGGCUCUCUGGGACGGUACUGACGCUGAGACGCGAAAGCGUGGGGAGCGAACAGG